rnacentral:rRNA from 1 species
GACGUAGGGCGCGAGCGUUGUCCGGAUUUAUUGGGCGUAAAGAGCUCGUAGGCGGCUUGUCGCGUCGACCGUGAAAACUUGGGGCUCAACCCCAAGCCUGCGGUCGAUACGGGCAGGCUAGAGUUCGGUAGGGGAGACUGGAAUUCCUGGUGUAGCGGUGAAAUGCGCAGAUAUUAGGAGGAACACCGGUGGCGAAGGCGGGUCUCUGGGCCGAUACUGACGCUGAGGAGCGAAAGCGUGGGGAGCGAACAGG